rnacentral:lncRNA from 1 species
UUUACAAGUAUGCCAUUCUGUCAGCCAAUUCCUUCUCUCUUUCAUGUUUUUUGUUUUGUUUUGUUUUUUUUGUUUUUUUCUUGUCGUCCUCCCUUCCUCACGAAAGGGAAGUAAAACCCAACGUGGGUGAAGGAAAAAGGGAAGUAAAAUCAAACUGAUUUCAUUUUUUGGAUUGAUCAAAUAUGGAGCAAUGUUUCUCCUUUAUUAUUUUAGAAAGUCUUUAUUGUUUUUCCCCUUUGUUGGAAAAAGUCUUUACUGUUUGUUAGCUUUGAUGUUAAUGUCAAAACUAAUUUUAAUGGUGAGGCAGCUUGGGGUUUCCUAAUUAGAAAUUUAAAUGGUCACACUACUAUAGCUGGGUGAUUUCCUUUUAAAAUCGAAGAGUUUACAAGAUCAUUAUUCAAGCCAUAAAGAAACAUGUUCAGAUUCCUUAGAGAUUUGCUUCAGUCAUACAAGACAUUUGACAUCUACUUCACCAAAUUCCUCAAGAAGUGAAUAUGGUUGCAGAGGUUUCGCAGCUGUUGGUCAUUUUUAUGAUCACUCUUAUACCUAGUUCAAUAACUUUCUCAAUUUAAAGUUUGUUUUGGAAUAAAUUGUAUUAUAUAAAAUUAAAAAACAGGCGUGAGUUAUUUUGAUUUAGAUUCAUAAAUAAUGUGGGUUAUUUUGUUAUAGUUCCAAAAAUAGUGUAGAUUAUGAAUAGUGUGGGUUAUUUUGCUAUAGUUCCAGAAAUAGUGUGGGUUAUUUUGGUUCAGUUUCAUAAAUAAUGUGAGUUAUUUUGUUAAAGUUCCAGAUAUAGUGUGAGUUAUUUUGAUUCAGUUUUAAAUAGUGUAGGUUAUCUUGUUAUGGUUCUAGAAAUAGUGUGGGUACUUUUGUCUAGUUUCAUAAAUAGUGUGGAUUAUUUUGUUAUAGUUAUAGAAAUAAUGUGGGUUAUUUUGAUUCAGUUUCAUAAAUAAUGCGGGUUAUUUUGUUAUAGUUCCCGAAAUAGUGCGAGUU